rnacentral:rRNA from 1 species
GACGGGGGGUCCUAGCGUUGUUCGGAAUCAUUGGGCGUAAAGCGUGUGCAGGUGGCUCUGUAAGUCAGAUGUGAAAGCCCCGGGCUUAACUCGGGAAGUGCAUUUGAAACUACAGAACUUGGAAUAUGGAAGAGGGUCGUGGAAUUCCUGGUGUAGUGGUGAAAUACGUAGAUAUCAGGAGGAACACCGGUGGCGAAGGCGGCGACCUGGUCCAAUAUUGACACUCAUACACGAAAGCGUGGGGAUCAAACAGG